UACACUCCUACGGGAGGCAGCAGUGAGGAAUAUUGGACAAUGGGUGGAAGCCUGAUCCAGCCAUCCCGCGUGCAGGAAGACGGCCCUAUGGGUUGUAAACUGCUUUUAUCUGGGGAUAAACCUACUUACGUGUAAGUAGCUGAAGGUACCAGAAGAAUAAGCACCGGCUAACUCCGUGCCAGCAGCCGCGGUAAUACGGAGGGUGCAAGCGUUAUCCGGAUUUAUUGGGUUUAAAGGGUCCGUAGGCGGACUGAUAAGUCAGUGGUGAAAUCCGACAGCUUAACUGUCGAACUGCCAUUGAUACUGUUAGUCUUGAGUAAGGUUGAAGUGGCUGGAAUAAGUAGUGUAGCGGUGAAAUGCAUAGAUAUUACUUAGAACACCAAUUGCGAAGGCAGGUCACUAAGUCUUAACUGACGCUGAUGGACGAAAGCGUGGGGAGCGAACAGGAUUAGAAACCCCUGUAGUCCCAU
rnacentral:rRNA from 1 species